GAUUUUAAAAGCAUAUGCAAUGACUAGCUGAUUACAAAUAGAUUUUAGAAAAAACUAUCUACGAUGAUAAUAUAUAUACAUUUCUCAGAUCGAAACAUUUAAGAAACUUGCUCCUGAUUUUAUAAAUUUCAUAUGUGUUUUGUUACAGAAUGAACGUUGAUGUUGUUGUACCCUUUUUUCAUUCCCCGCCUAACGUAGACCCAAUACAAACCGUAGCAUCCCCUUUAAAUCUUCCCCAAUUCCUCCUCAUUACUAGGCGUCCACAACCUCUCCUCGUCGAUGAUAAUAGCUGCGUCCAAAACGUGCACGAACUCUUCGGUUCUUUGCUUGCAAGUCUCCCUAGACGAGCACCUCCGCUCAGCCCAACCAACCCAUCAGCUUGGCCUGCACCCCGCAUUCUCGCGCGCACGAGUCAUUUAUU
rnacentral:lncRNA from 1 species